rnacentral:misc_RNA from 1 species
GAUGAAGAACGUAGCAAAAUGCGCUAAGUAAUGUGAAUUGCAGAAUUCAGUGAAUCAUCGAAUCUUUGAACGCACAUUGCGCCCGCCAGUAUUCUGGCGGGCAUGCCUGUUCGAGCGUCAUUUCAACCCUCAAGCACAGCUUGGUGUUGGGACUCGCGUUAAUUCGCGUUCCCCAAAUUGAUUGGCGGUCACGUCGAGCUUCCAUAGCGUAGUAGUAAAACCCUCGUUACUGGUAAUCGUCGCGGCCACGCCGUUAAACCCCAACUUCUGAAUGUUGACCUCGGAUCAGGUAGGAAUACCCGCUGAACUUAAGCAUAUCAAUAAGCGGAGGA